UACGUAGGGUGCAAGCGUUAUCCGGAAUUAUUGGGCGUAAAGAGCUCGUAGGCGGUUUGUCGCGUCUGCUGUGAAAACCGGAGGCUCAACCUCCGGCCUGCAGUGGGUACGGGCAAACUAGAGUGCGGUAGGGGAGAUUGGAAUUCCUGGUGUAGCGGUGGAAUGCGCAGAUAUCAGGAGGAACACCGAUGGCGAAGGCAGAUCUCUGGGCCGUAACUGGACGCUGAGGAGCGAAAGCGUGGGGAGCGAACAGG
rnacentral:rRNA from 1 species